GGCUGCCUGCGCUUGUUUCGGGGUAAUCCCCCCGCCGCCCGGUUCCCGAGUAAGCUACUGCCUUGUUCGGACAAGUCACUUAAAGACAACACUAUUUAAUAAUGAGAGCACUUGAGCGAUAGGAUGCAGCUGUCAAGGGAUGGUGCCUCCACCGCCUCCCUGGGCAGCCUGUGCCGGUGCCCGAGAAGCCUUUCGGUGAAGAAAUUUUUCCUAAUGCCCAAUCUGAACGUGUCCUGGUGUGACCUGAGGCCAUUACCCCUCGUCCUAUCACCUGUCACUUGGGAGAAGACUCUGAGUAUAGAUGUGUAAGUUUUUUUUUUCAUGUGUGCAAAAUGCAAGGGAAGAAGAGAAUGAUGAGAAAAGCAACUGGCUGAAAUCAACACACAUAAGAAAGAAAAUGUUCAUUUAUGAUUGACCUAUCUACUUAACAUGGUGGGAUCGGAAAGUAGGAAAAGAAAGAAGAAAAGUAUGCAGUCAUUUUUCUUACAUAGCCUUGGAAACUAUACUGUUUCAUCUUUAUAGUGGCAUAUAUUUGUUGAGACAUAUUACUGAAAUCCUUGCUGAGCAGUAGAAAGGACUAAGUGGAAGUGACUGUCUGUACUUUGGCUGUGGAAGGAUGAAAAGCUCCUCGGUUUAUAUCACCUGGAAGCAGGAGGAUCUCCGUUUUAUGCAAGCUCUUUUGAAUAGCUGACUGGAGUUUAUACAGAGAACAGUGGGCAGCAGAGAAAAAUGUGAAGUUGAACAAAAGAAGAGAAGUGACCAUUCUGUUUUGAUGGUGGCACAGAUUCUGGAUGGAGACUUUGGAAUCAGAUUCAUUCAUCAACAUGCAACAACAGAGAAAAAGAAGUGAAUGGAGAAUUAAGAAAUGAAUACUGACAUUUUAAUAGUCUUGUAUCUUGUAUUGUGCUUAUGUAAAUGUAAAUAAUCCAUUUUACAAGAGAAUGAAGAGGGUAAUUUAUUACCAUGCUCUGCCCUGUUCCUGAUCCCUUUGAAUUCCUUCUCUACUAUGUGAAUUUUAUGUUGUCUGAUGUUCUACAAUUAAAUUUCUUGUCCUGGGUUGACCUCGAAUAUGUUGACUUCAUCAUCCCACAGCACCAAAUGUAAUGCAAUGUCAGCCCUCCUGAAGCAGCAUCCUGCUUCUGUGAAAGG